GGCUUAUUAGCUUAGUUGGUUAGGGCAUCGUGCUAAUAACCCGAAGAUUGCAAGUUCGAGACCUGCAUGGGCCA
rfam:Prunus persica cultivar Lovell chromosome G6, whole genome shotgun sequence.